GACGAACGCUGGCGGCGUGCUUAACACAUGCAAGUCGAACGGAAAGGCCCUGCUUUUGUGGGGUGCUCGAGUGGCGAACGGGUGAGUAACACGUGAGUAACCUGCCCUUGACUUUGGGAUAACUUCAGGAAACUGGGGCUAAUACCGGAUAGGAGCUCCUGCUGCAUGGUGGGGGUUGGAAAGUUUCGGCGGUUGGGGAUGGACUCGCGGCUUAUCAGCUUGUUGGUGGGGUAGUGGCUUACCAAGGCUUUGACGGGUAGCCGGCCUGAGAGGGUGACCGGCCACAUUGGGACUGAGAUACGGCCCAGACUCCUACGGGAGGCAGCAGUGGGGAAUAUUGCACAAUGGGCGGAAGCCUGAUGCAGCAACGCCGCGUGCGGGAUGACGGCCCUCGGGUUGUAAACCGCUUUCGCCUGUGACGAAGCGUGAGUGACGGUAAUGGGUAAAGAAGCACCGGCUAACUACGUGCCAGCAGCCGCGGUGAUACGUAGGGUGCGAGCGUUGUCCGGAUUUAUUGGGCGUAAAGGGCUCGUAGGUGGUUGAUCGCGUCGGAAGUGUAAUCUUGGGGCUUAACCCUGAGCGUGCUUUCGAUACGGGUUGACUUGAGGAAGGUAGGGGAGAAUGGAAUUCCUGGUGGAGCGGUGGAAUGCGCAGAUAUCAGGAGGAACACCAGUGGCGAAGGCGGUUCUCUGGGCCUUUCCUGACGCUGAGGAGCGAAAGCGUGGGGAGCGAACAGGCUUAGAUACCCUGGUAGUCCACGCUGUAAACGGUGGGUACUAGGUGUGGGGUCCAUUCCACGGGUUCCGUGCCGUAGCUAACGCUUUAAGUACCCCGCCUGGGGAGUACGGCCGCAAGGCUAAAACUCAAAGGAACUGACGGGGCCCCGCACAAGCGGCGGAGCAUGCGGAUUAAUUCGAUGCAACGCGUAGAACCUUACCUGGGUUUGACAUGGAUCGGGAGUGCUCAGAGAUGGGUGUGCCUCUUUUGGGGUCGGUUCACAGGUGGUGCAUGGCUGUCGUCAGCUCGUGUCGUGAGAUGUUGGGUUAAGUCCCGCAACGAGCGCAACCCUUGUUCACUGUUGCCAGCACGUUAUGGUGGGGACUCAGUGGAGACCGCCGGGGUCAACUCGGAGGAAGGUGGGGAUGACGUCAAGUCAUCAUGCCCCUUAUGUCCAGGGCUUCACGCAUGCUUCAAUGGCUGGUACAGAGAGUGGCGAGCCUGUGAGGGUGAGCGAAUCUCGGAAAGCCGGUCUCAGUUCGGAUUGGGGUCUGCAACUCGACCUCAUGAAGUCGGAGUCGCUAGUAAUCGCAGAUCAGCAACGCUGCGGUGAAUACGUUCCCGGGGCU
rnacentral:rRNA from 1 species